rnacentral:lncRNA from 1 species
AAAAUCUGAGACAUAAUUUGAAAAACUUGGUAGACAAGAACCAUCAGUGAGACGGUAAUGGUGUUGAUAUAGCAGGCCACCAAACUGACAUUAUAUGACAUAUUUUUAUGUUUAUUUUGGUUAAUUUCUAUUGAUUGUUUUUUCUUUUUCAAGUAUGAAUCACAAAUAGGACCAGAUCGCAUCUGUACUUCAUCGCUACUUCACUGGUUACUUAUAUAUUUCUUCUUUAAUCUUCCUAUUUUCUGUAUAUUUGAAUUAAGAGCUUAUUGCAUUCUUUCCUUUUCUUUUUCUUGCAUAUGCUUGCUUUCUGUUUUGAUUCAACUGUUUUUAGACAAUCAGCCCAUUCUGAGUCCCUUCACAGUUCCAGGCAGAAGCCUGUAUUUGUGAUAGGUGUAUGGUUCAAAGUUACUGGGUGAGUUUAGAGCAGUUAAGAUACAAGAUGAUUGAAAUAAAAAAUGAUGGAAUACAGAGAAAUUCAACAUGAUGAAGGAGAGAAGGAUUGUCCUGGAUCAUUGACUGGUAGGGAGUCACAUUCUAGAGAGGCUUUGCAGAUAAGUAUUCUAUGUGUAAGAUUUAAGUUAGUUGCUGAUGUUGGAUUGAGUGACUGAAUGAAUGAAUCUUAAGCAUGUCAGUUAAUCUAGAAUAGUUGGAAAGCUUCAUCAGGACACACCCUACACUCAAUCUCUGAAAAGAGAGUUUUCAGACAAUAUUCUGGCAACUAACUGUUCAACUAAUAUCUCUGAAAAGAGACUUUUUAGACAAUACUCUGGCAACUAGGUGUUCAAUUAAUAUGCCAAUCAAUUAAUCAGAUGUGAUUUUAAAGAAUUUAAUGGUGCUAUCGUCAUUGCACGUUGAUUUAAAUGCUCUCGGCAGACUCCUACAUAGUUGCUUUCUCUGUUGUUUUAGAGAAGAGUAAGUGUGAUUAUGAACCUGGAGCAUCAAGCAAUCUAAGAUUUGUGUUGAUCAUAAAGCUAUUCAUGGAUAAAUGGGCUGGGACAUCCAUUAGGGCAUCUAUAUGAAGAUUUGUGGAGAGGAUGGCUUUUGACAUGUUCCUAGCGGCCUGACGUGAGCUAUUGAUAUGGUGAAGUGUUAAGAAAGCAAGAAGAUCACCAUCUUUUCUCUGUGGUCAAUAAAUUUGAAUUCACUGAAGAAAAUUUGAGUAAGUUCAAGUUGUGGAAUUAAGUAAUAGCUAGUGAUAGCCAUUGAACUAUAAGAACUAUAUACUCGCAAACUUAGCAGUAAUCUUUAUCAAUUGGAAAAAUAGAAAAAACUUGAGCAAACAUCUCAAAGCUUUAACUACUCAACAUAGUAAAUAUUAAUAAAGGUAGUACAAUUAAAAUUUAACCAAAACUAAUUAUCUGACCUUAACCAUUAAAAAGACCUUCAAAUAAGAUUAAUUCUAUGUGACCCAAAAUGCCUGCUUGAACAAAACUUACUAUUGAAUAGAUGUUGACUUACUGACUCGCACUCAACCACAUUAAAGUUUUCUAUGAUGUUAGGCAGGAUCAAAUAUCAUUGUGCAUCGAGGUAUCAUGGAGCUUGUCGUUAGCUUUUCAGUAAUACACAAUAUUAGUUUUCAGAUAUCCAAUUUGAAUGUUAUGGCCUUCAGAAGUUACUAUUGAUUCAACAAUAUAUAAUACAUGUCAUUUGGAUAUGCAGUUGAAAAUUUAUGCUUUGAAAAUUUAUCACGUUGUUCUAGCUUAAAUUCAUCUUCUUGACUUCUUUUUGUCCUUGAUGUUCUUUAUGACCAAUUGUGCACCAGCUUUGCUUUGUGAUUGCCUAUGUCACAGGCAUGUGGGUCAUAGAACUCUCUUUUGCAUUUAUGGCAUUUUAAAGGAUCCCACACAAUCCAUGACUUACUGGAAAUAUUCAUAGCUUUGAGUAUGGAAGGUCUGCUUAAUGCAGCUUGUAUAUUUCUGACAUGUUAUGUAUGUAUUCAUAUGAAAAUCAAUCAUCCAGAAAGCACUAAUGGUCCUCCUCUUGCUAUGUUUAGGGAAAAAAGAGCUUUUGUCAUUUGAUUGGAUUCUUCAAUGUCCAAUGAGAGAUUUGAGAGGUUAGUGCAUUUACGAGAUGAGAGUUGUCAGAAAGCCCUUUAGUAUCAUGGCACUUGGUCCUUUUGACGAACUAAAUCUUGUCGACAGGGGGAUAAAGAAGGCCUCAAAGUAAAAGGAGAGGAAAAGUCUUUCAUCAAAUAAAGGGGAAAGCAGCACUUAAAUAUAUCAACUUUAAUGGGAAGGAGAGCACCUUUGAUGGAUUUACACCAAGCUAGAAUUGAUUAUGGACCCUCAGAAGAAAAGGCCUUCCUACCAAAACAGAGUGAUGCAAUAGUUACUUAUGGGAAUGUGUACAAGAAGUUUCAGUGGAUUUUCAUUCUGAUGCCCACCACAUAAUUUUAUAGGACCAUUUACCAUAGGAUCUUCAUCUUAGUUUGUCAUACUAUUCAUGGAUAUCAGGAAAAAUUAUCUGUUCUAGAAGUCCUUGAUCUCUCACUUCCAGUUUGGUUGUUAUCUUGUCUGUUGAUUGCCCCCAAAAAGCUCUGAUAUUUAUUUCAUGACCCUAGUCUUUCCACAUCAACAUUAACUUUCUGAAAUGAAUAUAAUGUUAUUUUGUUUGUUUCCUGUAGAUUCUGUAUCUAGUGCAAUACUCAGUUCUCAUCCUGAGCAAACAACUAGUAUACCCAUGUUUUUG